rnacentral:rRNA from 1 species
GUCUACGGCUAUACCACCCUGAACGCGCCCAAUCUCGUCUGAUCUCGGAAGCUAAGCAGGGUCGGGCCUGGUUAGUACUUGGAUGAGAGAAUUCCAUCUUAGACU